rnacentral:rRNA from 1 species
AUACGGAGGGUCCAAGCGUUAUCCGGAAUCAUUGGGUUUAAAGGGUCCGCAGGCGGUCAAUUAAGUCAGAGGUGAAAGCCCAUCGCUCAACGAUGGAACUGCCUUUGAUACUGGUUGACUUGAGUUAUACGGAAGUAGAUAAAAUAAGUAGUGUAGCGGUGAAAUGCAUAGAUAUUACUUAGAAUACCGAUUGCGAAGGCAGUCUACUACGUAUAUACUGACGCUGAGGGACGAAAGCGUGGGGAGCGAACAGGAUUAGAUACCCUAGUAGUCC